rnacentral:lncRNA from 1 species
GAAAAGUUCUCAAAAGAAUCAAUAAAAGGGUGGUGGAGGAGGAGAUGCAUACGAGACUCCGAUGACGGGUGGCAAAGGCCCUUCAUAUACAGGUGCAGGUGGUGGAGAUGACGGUGGUGGCGGUGAAUUGUAAUGAUAAACAGGUGUUGGAGGUGGCGGUGAUGGUGGUGGUGGUGAAUUAUAUUGAAUUGGGGGAGGUGGUGGUGAUGGUGAUGGUGGCGGAUGGUAAGGUGCAGAGUGUGGUGAUGGUGGUGGUGGUGAAUGCUCUUCACAAGGUGGUGGAGGUGGUGGCGGAGGAGGUGACUCUAUACAAGGUGGUGGAGAUGGGGGUGGCGGUGGUGGUGAAUAAACUGGUGGGGGAGGAGAGUGAACUGGAGGAGGUGGUGGCGGUGAUAAAUAGGGAUAAACUGGUGGUGGUGGUGGUGGUGAAUGUGGUGGUGGCGGUGGCGAAUGAGGUGGAGGUGGCGGUGGAGAGGCGGCGAAUACACUGGUGGUGGAG